rnacentral:tRNA from 1 species
GGGGGCGUGGCGGAAUUGGCAGACGCAGGGGACUUAAAAUCCCUCGACUUCGGUUGUGUGGGUUCGAGUCCCACCGCCCCUACCA